rnacentral:rRNA from 1 species
UGGGGAAUCAUCGACAAUGGGGGCAACCCUGAUCUUGCCAUGCCGCGUGGUCGAUGAAGGCCUUAGGGUUGUAAAGACCUUUCACCGGUGACGAUAAUGACGGUAGCCGGAGAAGAAGCCCCGGCUAACUCCGUGCCAGCAGCCGCGGUAAUACGGAGGGGGCUAGCGUUGUUCGGAAUUACUGGGCGUAAAGCGCACGUAGGCGGGGAUUUAAGUCGGGGGUGAAAUCCCGGGGCUCAACCCUGGAACUGCCUUCGAUACUGGGUGGCUAGAGUACGGAAGAGGUGAGUGGAAUGGCGAGUGUAGAGGUGAAAUUCGUAGAUAUUCGCCGGAACACCAGUGGCGAAGGCGGCUCACUGGUCCGUUUCUGACGCUGAGGUGCGAAAGCGUGGGGAGCAAACAGGAUUAGAUACCCGUGUAGUCC